rnacentral:tRNA from 1 species
GGGCGGAUGGUUUAGUGGUAUAAUACUCCCUUAGCAUUCGUGCAUUGUCAGAUCCGACUGGGAGUGGUCCGGGGUUCGAUUCCCCGUCUGUCCA